rnacentral:rRNA from 1 species
UUAUGGCUCAGGACGAACGCUGGCGGCGUGCCUAAUACAUGCAAGUCGAACGGUCUUUCUAUGGAAGCUUGCUUCCACUGAGAAGAUAGUGGCGAACGGGUGAGUAACACGUGGGUAACCUGCCCAUAAGAGGGGGGAUAACAUCCGGAAACGGGUGCUAAUACCGCAUAGUUUUCUUGAUCGCAUGAUCGGGAAAGGAAAGACGGCCUUUGUGCUGUCGCUUAUGGAUGGACCCGCGGCGUAUUAGUUAGUUGGUGAGGUAACGGCUCACCAAGACGAUGAUACGUAGCCGACCUGAGAGGGUGAUCGGCCACAUUGGGACUGAGACACGGCCCAAACUCCUACGGGAGGCAGCAGUAGGGAAUCUUCCGCAAUGGACGAAAGUCUGACGGAGCAACGCCGCGUGAGUGAAGAAAGGUUUUCGGAUCGUAAAACUCUGUUGUCAGAGAAGAACAAGUUGGAGAGUAACUGCUCCAGCCUUGACGGUAUCUGACCAGAAAGCCACGGCUAACUACGUGCCAGCCGCCGC